ACGAAUCGCAUCGUCUCUUGUCCCUACCGAUCCGUUUUCGUCAAAGAAGGUUGAGCAGGAUGUUGCGGAGGAUGUUGAGCUAGCCUUAGGAUACGUUGUGUCUUCAUACAUAGGCGUGAUCCUUGACUCUCUCCUUAAACCUUUUUCCGCUACUAUAUUAUUAACUAUGUCUCAAGACUUAAAUCGUUUCCGUAUUGUGUUUUGAACAUGUAUGGUUGUGUUAGGUUUUAACCAAGUAAUUACGCUGUCUUUGAAAAUGGUGUUUUCCGUGAAUUUAAUUAAAUGUUUUACUUUAGAAGUUAUUUGGGUUUCUUAAAGUUUAUUUUUCUCCGCUGCUUCUUUUAAAAGUUUUU